GCUGGUUUAGCUCAGCUGGUAGAGCAACUGAUUUGUAAUCAGUAGGUCGGGGGUUCGACUCCCUCAACCAGCACCA
rnacentral:tRNA from 1 species